rnacentral:rRNA from 1 species
CACGUAGGGCGCAAGCGUUGUCCGGAAUUACUGGGCGUAAAGCGUGCGCAGGCGGUUCUAUAAGACAGAUGUGAAAUCCCCGGGCUCAACCUGGGAACUGCAUUUGUGACUGUAGAGCUGGAGUACGGUAGAGGGGGAUGGAAUUCCGCGUGUAGCAGUGAAAUGCGUAGAUAUGCGGAGGAACACCGAUGGCGAAGGCAAUCCCCUGGACCUGUACUGACGCUCAUGCACGAAAGCGUGGGGAGCAAACAGG